rnacentral:rRNA from 1 species
GACGAACGCUGGCGGCGUGCUUAACACAUGCAAGUCGAACGGAAAGGCCCUGCUUUUGUGGGGUGCUCGAGUGGCGAACGGGUGAGUAACAAGUGAGUAACCUGCCCUUGACGUUGGGAUAACUUCAGGAAACUGGGGCGAAUACCGGAUAGGAGCUCCUGCUGCAUGGUGGGGGUUGGAAAGUUUCGGCGGUUGGGGAUGGACUCGCGGCUUAGCAGCUUGUUGGUGGGGUAGUGGCUUACCAAGGCUUUGACGGGUGGCCGGCCUGAGAGGGUGACCGGCCACAUUGGGACUGAGAUACGGCCCAGACUCCUACGGGAGGCAGCAGUGGGGAAUAUUGCACGAUGGGCGGAAGCCUGAUGCAGCAACGCCGCGUGCGGGAUGACGGCCUUCGGGUUGUAAACCGCUUUCGCCUGUGACGAAGCGUGAGUGACGGUAAUGGGUAAAGAAGCACCGGCUAACUACGUG